rnacentral:rRNA from 1 species
GAUGAACGCUGGCGGCGUGCCUAACACAUGCAAGUCGAGCGGCAGCGAGGGGUGCUUGCACCCUGUCGGCGAGCGGCGGACGGCUGAGUAGCGCGUGGGAACGUGCCCCAAAGUGAGGAAUAACUGCCCGAAAGGGUAGCUAAUACCGCAUAUUAUCUUCGGAUCAAAGGAUUUAUCCGCUUUGGGAGCGGCUCGCGUCGGAUUAGGUAGUUGGUGAGGUAAUGGCUCACCAAGCCGACGAUCCGUAGCUGGUCUGAGAGGAUGACCAGCCAGACUGGAACUGAGACACGGUCCAGACUCCUACGGGAGGCAGCAGUGAGGAAUCUUCCACAAUGGGCGAAAGCCUGAUGGAGCAACGCCGCGUGCAGGACGAAGGCCUUCGGGUUGUAAACUGCUUUUAUAAGUGAGGAAUAUGACGGUAACUUAUGAAUAAGGACCGGCUAACUACGUG